CAUAGCUUGUGUCUAAAAAGUUGCACAAAUUUACAAGUUCUAUAUUCUAUAUUCAUAAAAUGUAUAUAGUGUGCUUAUUUUCAUGAAAUAAAUUUGGGAAAGGUGGAUAAGAGGAGAGAAAAUGGGAGAGCGACGAUAACAUUAAGGGACAUGAUGCUGGCUUGAUGUUAGCGGGAUUGGCUCAAUGUGCAAUACCAAACGGAUUUACACGACAAAAUUUAAUGAUUGUGUUUGUAUUAAAAAAGGCCGCCACCAUGGUUGGCGCCAAGAAAAAUUUUAGAUUAUAAUAAAUUUAGGGAUGGCCAGAAACUGCAUCUAAAAUAGAAUUUGACUGGAGAAAAGCCAACGGCUCCAUAGUUUUAUCUAUUUUAAUGUUGACAUGAAAAGAAAGGGUCUUCCAAAGUUUUAGAAUUAUCUUAACAUUAUCAACUUUUUUGCAAAUGAAUGAAACCAAAAUAAGAUGGGGAGAAGAAAUAAAACACAGUUUGGCAAUAAAGCAUUGGCCAGUGCCCUAGUCCACACACGCUGCCUCAUGUACAUACGCUAAUAAGCAUGAACUUCAUGAACUAAUAAGUCUGGCCUGGGGUCUCAGAAAGCGGAGAAAGGGCUGAGGUCAUGGUGAGUUUAUCAACGACCAAUUUAAUUCAAUGAAAGCAGUAAAAUAUUUUGCUAUAAAAUGUUUAAAUGAUUUAAUAAAGUAAUUCUUAUUUUCGUACUUCCUUUCGGACCAUACUGGUCAAAGAGACGCACAUAAUCAUUUACUGUAGGAAAAGUAUCACCAGAGCAGUCCAAAAACAAAACUAAAUCGAAUUCAAAAUUUUCAAAAGCGUAAGCCAAAAAUAUUUCUUUUAGAUGAAGCGCUCGGCGGGCCGGUAAAAACUUGGUGCUGGCUGUUUUAGAGUUUUAACAGAUAUCUCACUGUUUGGUAGCAGCAUUAAUCCAGCUUAUAUGACUUUUCAGGGGUCCAGUGAGAAACUCAGAAGUAAACUUGCAGGAGCACUCUUUCAUUGAAAGGAUUUGUAGACACAAGGAGACAAUCACUAAGACAAUCACAUUGUUAUUGCACACCCUGCCCUGGUUGGGGACUAAUUGCAGGCUGAUUAAAUUCCCUAUAGGGCUCCCUCAGUAGAAUUCAAUCCCGAGUGACCCACACAUCCAAUGAAGACAUACCCUUUUCUAAGGGAAAUCUCCUUGGGGGUUAAACAUUUCUUCUCAUAAGGGAGAUGACAAUAGCCUAUCGUUUUAAAAAGAUGGAAUGUAUUUUGCUGGAGAGAAGCCCCUUCCCCCCACUAUUUAGGAUGUUUGAAAGGCCUAAGAUGACGAUAAAAACAGGGUUGACAGUGUCUUGCUAUUUAGUAAAGACUACAUAGCAUCUUUCAUUCGUUUCCAUUCAACUUUCGUCAACCGGGAUUUGCAGAUGUUUAAUUGUCAGACAGACAGUUACCUAAGGGGCAAUGGUCAACUGUACAGCGAUACUGAAAAAGGUUUUAAUCAGCAUUUGUUUCGAUUCUGCCGAACGAUGCAACAAACAAACAACUGCUUAACGAAUCUACUGUCUAGUCUUUUCUGUCUAGUUGUUUCAAAGACAGGAAGUAUUUCAGAACGAAAGUAUUGGGUGGCAAAAAUUGGAAGCCACAAGGACGCGUGCGGUUCGAUUCUGGCUCAUUUCUACGAUUGUAUUUCCACGCGACUUCUUCAAGGCACUCAAACACUGGUGCAACAAUCACAUACAGUUGAUAAGACGUCUCCUGCAUGCCCUCGGAAUCUGGACCGAAAAAGAAAUGAUGCUCAGAGAUUAUGGCUUCAUACUCGGAGAUUUCAAUCGCCGUUUCACUACAGGGAAGUUACAAGCCAAAUAGUUACUCAAUACUUGAAAUGGUAAAUUUAUUGAUUUGGAAAUCAUACUACAGAGGUAGUGCUCUUGUGAAACAAGAAAAAUAUAUCCCCGUUACAAGACAGGUUACAGUGACGUCUGGACCUUCAAGUUUCCUGUUUCGUUUUGGUGUCUAUAAAACUUAUUUCAUGUGGUAACGUGGUCUCCAAGAAUCUAGUUUCGACCUUGUUCCUUUACAAUGCGAUGCAAACCUUGUAUUGCGUCGUUUUUACCCAGUUGACAAUGGCUGUGAAGGAGACAAUAUCACAUUCCUCCUUCGCAAUAGACAAAAGGAUUUAGUGGCUUUAUAGUGGGGCACAAUCGUGAACGAUCAGUUGUCGAUUAACGUCCUAUGAGAGCACGUCAAGCAUAAGAAGAAACACGAAUUUCCUUGCUUGGAAAGGACAGGAAAUUUUAAUCAAAUGUUGGUUUAAGGAAGCGUUGUCAAAAUCUUGGUAAAGAAUUACUUUUCAAUUGUCUCUAGAAUAUUUUUGGAAGUGAUUUUGGCAAAAUCGGUAUGGAGAGAUGUGGAUGUGCAAAGAGGAAAUUGAAUAUGGGUGCAGAGCAAAUAUACCUCGUCAUAUUUUUAUUAGCAUCUUUGCUUCAAAUUGCAGAUAGCAGGCCAUUUUUCAAUUCACAUUUCUACAUGGACAGCCACCAUCUAAAAGGACAUAGACAUGCGCAUUACGGCAGAAAGACUCCUCACAACUCAGUCGAUCAUCCGAUAGAAUUACGGUUUGUUUCCUUUGAUGAUGGUGGAAAACCAGUUGAAAAUAAAAUCGAGUUCCAACCAGAAUCUAAUCAUCCCCUCAGCCAAAGGCAUGGUGACUUUUUUGUUAGCCAUUUAUGGAAUGAUGGAGUAAGAGAUAAGAACGAACACAGGACAAAUUUUGUUGUGCGCCGAGCAAGAAAACAGCGGAAUCGGAUGAAGACGAGGAAAAGAGUAUCGCAUGGACUGUUGGGACUGUGGGGUUAAACAGAUCUCAAAAUAUAUGCUAUAAUCAAAUUGGCAACAAUUAUGAGAAAUCGCGAUAAUCUUUCGUCCGUGAGACAAUGCAACAACGAUAGAAUUUUCAUAGAAGAUUUUAGAGAAAGCUGUUCCUCUUGCAUUUUCAAUUUUUAUGCACCUGCCUGAUAAUAUCAAAUGGCGGUUAGUAUAACGUAAAAGUUUUUUGAAUGAAUUGCCAGCACAUCUGAACGCAAAUGAAUGUAUUAUAGCUCUGUCUCCAUUUCAAUCGCCAUUUACCAAUUUGAAUAAAAGCCUCGCGACCAAGGCUAUUAGCGAUUACUUUCUAUUAGCAUUUCUGUCUCAGCUUUUUGAAAAGUUUUUCAAAUAGAUAUUGAUCGAUCCUCCCUUUUCACAGAAACAAAAUUUCCUCGAUUAACAGGCCCUCCCCCCUGUUUCCUAACAUUUAUAUUUACUGCUUCGAGUAGUUGACCUGUUUCAUGCGCUAAAAACGUAGUAGGUUUCAUAAUUAUUGCUUUGAGCAAGACAAAAAACCAAGCUAGACUGGUUAAUUUGUAUGUAAUUUUGUAUGGCAAUUAGUACGUCGUUUGCGAUUACACGGAAAAGAGAAUUGUUAGGCAUCAAAUUUGGCAGUGCAAGCAACCACACGUCGUGUAUUGGCAAGUAAUUUCAAGUGAUUUCGCGGUAACUUUUCAACCUCAGCGUAACUUCAUUAAUAGUGAGCAUAAAAGACCAGUGCAUGCCUUGCAGAAAAACCCAUCAAAUGAUCAAUGUCCUUUAUACCUUGUGAUCAGUGUCAAAAACACAUACAAGCAGCAGCUGCUUCUUUAGCAUAGAAUGUUCAAAUGGACACGCCCUAUUUACCAAGGGCGUGUCCAUUUGAUUUUUCCUACCCAUAAGUUACUUACUAUCUCUAGGUCCUGUCGUUGCUUUUGAUGUUACCUAUUUGGAGCAGGUCUCCUCGGUAACAAAACCAGCGACCAUUUCUGCAAUGCAAAGAAUGCAGCAGAUCUGAAUACGACAGGAUAUGCUUGCAACGCUAAGAAAAUUUUCUGUCACGUUUUGCUUAAUGAUCGAAAACGUAAAUCAAUUAGUGUUUGUAAUCAUGUAUAUUGUUAGAAGCCGAAGAAUGUAUGUAUUAUAUGUAAUCUGAAUAUAGGGUGAUAGAGAGUAGCUAAUGAAAUGUUCAACCAAAAAGGAA